GCGAAUGGCUCAUUAAAUCAGUUAUCGUUUAUUUGAUAGUACCUUACUACAUGGAUAACCGUGGUAAUUCUAGAGCUAAUACAUGCUAAAAACCCCGACUUCGGAAGGGGUGUAUUUAUUAGAUAAAAAACCAAUGCCCUUCGGGGCUCUCUGGUGAUUCAUAAUAACUUAACGAAUCGCAUGGCCUUGCGCCGGCGAUGGUUCAUUCAAAUUUCUGCCCUAUCAACUUUCGAUUGUAGGAUAGAGGCCUACAAUGGUAUCAACGGGUAACGGGGAAUUAGGGUUCGAUUCCGGAGAGGGAGCCUGAGAAACGGCUACCACAUCCAAGGAAGGCAGCAGGCGCGCAAAUUACCCAAUCCCGACACGGGGAGGUAGUGACAAUAAAUACUGAUACAGGGCUCUUUUGGGUCUUGUAAUUGGAAUGAGUACAAUCUAAAUCCCUUAACGAGGAACAAUUGGAGGGCAAGUCUGGUGCCAGCAGCCGCGGUAAUUCCAGCUCCAAUAGCGUAUAUUAAAGUUGUUGCAGUUAAAAAGCUCGUAGUUGAACCUUGGGCCUGGCUGGCCGGUCCGCCUCACCGCGUGCACUGGUUCGGCCGGGCCUUUCCUUCUGGGGAACCGCAUGCCCUUCACUGGGCGUGUUGGGGAACCAGGACUUUUACUUUGAAAAAAUUAGAGUGUUCAAAGCAGGCCUUCGCUCGAAUACAUUAGCAUGGAAUAAUAGAAUAGGACGUGCGGUUCUAUUUUGUUGGUUUCUAGGACCGCCGUAAUGAUUAAUAGGGAUAGUCGGGGCCAUCCGUAUUCAAUUGUCAGAGGUGAAAUUCUUGGAUUUAUUGAAGACGAACUACUGCGAAAGCAUUUGGCAAGGAUGUUUUCAUUAAUCAGUGAACGAAAGUUAGGGGAUCGAAGACGAUCAGAUACCGUCGUAGUCUUAACCAUAAACUAUGCCGACUAGGGAUCGGACGGUGUUAUUAUUUUGACCCGUUCGGCACCUUACGAGAAAUCAAAGUCUUUGGGUUCUGGG
rnacentral:rRNA from 1 species